UUAAAGAUGUGUAACACUCCCUGGUUGUCCUAGAACUUGUUCUGUAGCUCAGGCUGGCCUGGAACCUCCAGCCUCUGCCUCCCAAGUGCUUGGAUUAAAGGGUGCAUCCCCAUGCUUGGUGAGCUACGUGUUUUUAAAAACUUAAAAAAUAUUUCUUAAAACUUUUAAAUUAUUUUAUUUUUCAUUUUUUUUUGUAUACAAGUGUUUUGUAUGCUUGCUUGUUUAUAUAUGCACCACAUUUGUGCCUGGAGUCCUUGGUGCCAGAAAGGGUAUUGAAUUCCCUGAAGUUGGAGUUAUAGACAGUUGUGAGCUGCUAUGUGGGUGCCAGGAACCGAACCUGAAUCCUUGAGCAACAAGUGCCCUCUCCCUUUUAAUUAAUUAAUUAACUAAUUAAUUAAUUAAUUAAAUGUAUACGAGUACACUAUGGCUGUCUUCACACACAUCAGAAGAGGGCAUUGGAUCCCAUUACAGAUGGUUGUGAGCCACCAUGUGGUUGCUGAGAACUGAACUCAGGACCUCUGGAAGAGCAGCCAGUGCUCUUAACCGCUGAGCCAUCUCUCCAGCCCAAGAGAUACUAACACUUAUCAAAUUCUUUUUUUUUUUUAAGACAUUAUAUAAAGUAGUAAUUAGGAAUUCCAUUCUAUAAGGGCAUUUAAUUUAUUUUUAAAGAUUCAUUUUUUCACUUUAUAUUUAUGAGUCUUGCAUGUGUAUACAUCUGUGCACCACAGUAAGUACCAAGUGCUCUAGGAGAUAGAGGAGGGCAUCUGAUUCCUGGAAACUGGAGUUAGAGGCAGUUUGAGCCACUGUGGGGGUGCUGGAAACUGAGGGGCAGUGAGUACUCCUACCUCUAGAUCCAAUGAGAUUUCUUUUCUUUCUUUUUUUUUUUUUUUUUGGUUUUUCGAGACAGGGUUUCUCUGUGUAGCCCCUGGCUGUCCUGGAACUCACCCUGUAGACCAGGCUGGCCUCGAACUCAGAAAUCCGCCUGCCUCUACCUCCCAAGCACUGGGAUUAAAGGUAUGCGCCACCACGCCCGGUGAGAUUUCUUUUUUAAAUGAGGACAUUUUAAUGGUUGGUUUAUAUUGAACAGCUAUUUUUGGGUCAAGGAGAUGACUCAGUAGGAAAAGUAUUUGCUAUGAAAGUCUGUUGACCUGAGUUCAGUUCCUAGAAAUGGUGUGAAAGUGGAAGGAAAGAACUGACUGGAGAAAGUUGCCUCUGACCUCCAUGUUCCUUCUGUGCCCAGCACGCUCUGUCACCUGGCACCCACACACCGCAGUAACUGAUGUUUUAGGCCAGGAGUUUUCUUUUGGGUAGAAACACAGACAUUGAUAGUAAUGCUGAUUGAAGUGUAACGAGUGCUUAUGAUUACUGUGAUAUCACCAUCCCAGCUUGGAGCCGUACCUCAUCUGUGAUGCCCUAGAUUUAAUCCCUGGCAGUUAAUACUGUCCAGGCAUUGUAGUGCACCCUUGUAAUCCCAGUGCUCAGGAGGUGGAGACCGAAGAACCUCAAGGUCACCCUUGCCUACACAGGUGAAUUUGAAGCCAGUCCUGGCUGCAUGAACUGCCUUAAAAACAGUAACAACAAAGAUGGUAAAUGUGAUCACUUGUACCUUGUAGGUACUGCUUUUCUUUUCUUUCUUUUAAAAAAAGAUUUAUUCAUUCUUAUUUUAUGUGUAUGGGUGUUUUUGCUAUCAUGUAUGUCUGUGCAACAUGUGUUGCUGUGUCUGAGGAGGCCAGAACGUUUUAGAUUCCCUGGGCCUGGCGUUAUAGUUUCCAUUUAGGUGCAAGGAAUUGAACCUGGGUCCUUUGGAUGAGCAGCCAUUGGUCUUGCCACUGAGCCAUCUCUCCAGUUAUUCACUUGUAAAACUGUGUAUGCGUGUGCGUGUGCGCGUGCAUGCGUGCGUGUGUGUGUAAGAAGACUGGCAAAGGGCAUCAUCCUGGGAUUGGCAUUAACUGGCAGUUGUAAGCCGUCUUAUAGAGAGCAGCAAGCAUGACAAGCAAGCCCCACCACGCCCGGCUUUUUGGUAAUAUCUGGGUUAAACACUAGCGAUUCUUUCCUAAAUUUUUACAUAUCACUUCCUUCUUAGAAUUUGAGGAAGUUGAGAUUAUUUAGUCCUGAAGUCCAACUAAAACUUACAUUGCCAGGCAGUUGGAAGCUUUUCAAGAAGGCUGGGUGUUGUCUGCACUCUGACUUAUAUAUGAGUGCUUGUUCCAAGAGUGAGGGAGUUAUUUCUUACAUUUAAUUAAUUCAUUCAGUUUCAAACACGUUUAUAUUAUGGUCAUACUCAUCUCUCACUCAGCUUCUUCCAUCCUCCUUUCCCUAUAAGUCCCAAUUCUAGUUCUACUAAGUGAGGCAACUGUAAGUAGUAAUCUUAACCAUAAUAAGCUCUCAUAGCUAGGAGACUAAUGAUUGGCUUAGUAGAUAGACAGACACACACAAAGAAGAGGGGAGGAGAAAGAUUGAGAUUGUGUGUGUGUUACUAGGGAAACCAAAUUUUUUUUUGUUUUUUUGUUUUUUUUUUUUUUGGUUUGGUUUUUCGAGACAGGGUUUCUCUGUAUAGCCCUGGCUGUCCUGGAACUCACUCUGUAGACCAGGGUAGCCUUGAACUCAGAAAUCUACCUGCCUCUGCUCCCAAGUGCUGGGAUUAAAGGCAUGCACUACCAUGCCUGGCCUAUGGGAAAACCAAAUUUUAAAACUAAAUAUAACUAGAUUCUCAUCACAACUUUACAUGUUACUAAUUUGACUUUGGGAAAUUAAAUCGUUUUUUCUUUCCUCAGCCAUGUAGCUCUGUGUUGUAAUCAAAACUAGUUAUGUAUCAUCAGGUGUGGUGGUGCACACCUUUAAUUCCAGCACUUGAGAAGCAGAAGCAGUGAACCCUUCCAUCUUGUUGAUUUUUGAGACAGGGUUUUUCUGUGAAGCUCUGGGUAUCCUGGAACUUGCUUUGUAGACCAGGCAGGCCUUGAACUCACAGAGAUCCAUCUACCUCAGCCUCUGCCUCUGUCUCCUCAGUGAGCUUCAAGACUCUGUCUCAAAACAAUAACAAAAAUCCCCACAAAAGAAAGCAAAACAAACAACCCCCCCCCCAAGACUUUAGAUGGCUCUGUGGGUAAAGGGGUUUGCCACCGAUGCUGAGAGCCUGAGUUCUAUCCUAGGGUAGACAGACAGAACUGACUCCCACAGACUGUUGUCAGAUUUCUGACUUCCACAUGCUUUGUGACAUUUUCCCCAGAACAAAUAAAGGAAAAGUGAAUACUUCUCUUCAGGACUGGAAGUGUUGGUGGAGUACAUGCUUAGCAUGCAUAUGGGUAUAGGUUCAGCUUCUAGUGUCAAACUAAAACAAAGCAAAAGUCAUACAUAGUAUUUCAUGGAUGAAAUUGGAGUAUUUAGGCACUCAGGUGAUGCAGAGUGCAAGCUUGAAAUGCUAGCUACUAAUAUUUCCUAACACCCGUGUACUUAUUACCUCUAGUCAGUUGAAACUGUUCAACCACAGUCAUUCUACAUUGUCUCUAUCUCUGUCUCUCUCCAGGUAGACACAUUGUCACUGUAGCCUAGUUUGGUCUAACUUACUGUACAGCUCAGGCUGGCUUUGAACUUGCUACAACUCUUUUAUAUCAGCUCCCCCAAACCCCAAAUGCUGGUAUUAUAUGUAUAAGCCACUGGCUAUUGCCCUUUCUCUCCCUUUCUUUUUUUUUAAUCUUUCUUAUUUUAUAUGUAUGGAUGUUUUGCUGCAUGUAUGUAUGAAUACCCACAUAUGUCUGGUGCCUGUGGAGGUCAGAAAAGGGAGUUGGAUCCCCUGAAACUGAAAUUAACAUGGUUGUAUACCACCUUGUGGUGGCUAGGACUAUAAACAAGGUCGUAUGCCAGAAUAACUAGGGCUCUUAACUGUUGUGUUACCUCUACAGACCUAGCUUUAUAUAUGUUCAUUGAUGGGGACUGAACCCAGACAAACAUUUUACUACUAUGGUGCAUCCCUAGUCAAGACCCUAGUUAUUUCAAAUAGGGUUUCUAUAGCCUAGGCUAGUUUCAAACUUGGGAUUCAUCUGCUUCAGCCUCCUGAAUGCUAGAAUUACUGGUUUGUACCAACAUGUUUGGCUUAGCUAUAACUUCUGGUACCUUAAGAUAAGGUUUGCUGUGGGUGAUAGUUAACAUAAAAGCUGGCUUUUCAGGGCUGAGUGUAUUGCUUAGGUGUAGUGUUUGUCACUUGGGAGGGAGGUCAUGGAUUCAAUCUCUUGGUCUGCAAGAUCUGAAAAAAACAAAACCAAACAACCAA
rnacentral:lncRNA from 1 species